rnacentral:rRNA from 1 species
UACGGAGGGGGCUAGCGUUGUUCGGAAUUACUGGGCGUAAAGCGCACGUAGGCGGCUUUGUAAGUUAGAGGUGAAAGCCCGGGGCUCAACUCCGGAAUUGCCUUUAAGACUGCAUCGCUAGAAUUGUGGAGAGGUAAGUGGAAUUCCGAGUGUAGAGGUGAAAUUCGUAGAUAUUCGGAAGAACACCAGUGGCGAAGGCGGCUCACUGGCCCGAUACUGACGCUGAGGCACGAAAGCGUGGGGAGCGAACAGG